GAGAAGACUGGACUUCGGAGCUCAACAGGCCUGCACUGAAAUCCCAUCUGAAAUCUGCCACUGACCAGCCGUGACCUGGGGCACUAUCCCCACGUUACAGAGGAAACAGAGGAUACUCAAGGUGAUGUGACCUUCCCAAGAUGACUCAUGAUUUAGAAGAAUGGACUCUGACUCCCAGGCCAGUGCUCCAUCCACUGCAUCCUGGGCUUUCGGGGGAGCAGAGGUCCCAGAAUCCCCCACAUCCUGCCAGGGAGCCAGCUUCCUGAACAUGUGUCAUCAGGUGGGUCCCAGGAUGCUCAGAAGGGUGGGAACUCUGCCGAGGACACUGAGGGCAAGUGUCCCAGGAGGGGAGCUGAGCCAGAACAUCAUCCCUCACAUUCCCACUGGCCACUGUGCUUUAACAAAA
rnacentral:lncRNA from 1 species